rnacentral:rRNA from 1 species
UCUUGUCUUACAGACUUCUUCGUAGAAGGUCAUCGUCACGGUUUCCCUGACUUGCUUGAAGUUUAGUAGCAACACGCUAAACUUCUCUUCUAAAUAUGACGUCGCUGGUCAGUCCAUUAAAUUAGACAGAACCGCCGAUGAGUUUCGUCUAGUAUCAAAUAAAAUAAAAAUCAAUACCCACAGUUUGUUCCAAAAUACCCGAAUAUUAUCUCGUCUUGACAGGGGUUUACAACAUCUCCUAUGAAAAAUUCAGUACAAAUCAUGGUACAUAUUGAUACUAAGUUUAGAAUUUUCGACUUCGUGGACGAGCUCGUACGAUUUAAGGAUUAGUUGGUCUUGAGAACCAACGUUCGGUGGUAAUCAUUAAAUCAGGGUCCGCCACCAGUAACGCUGCUGUGUGCAGUCCAGUCGAUUAACGAAGAUAAAGAAAGUUGGUCAUCAUGCAUCAUCGAUACCUCACUCUACACGAUUAAUUAAACAUGGUGGCAUGCGAAUAUCUCAAGGGGAAAGAAAACAAAAAUACACAUUGUCGGUUCUACUACACGAAAUGUGAAUGUUGAGCACGACUGACUUAGCCUCGUUCGGAGGAUGGUCAAGGUGGUACAUUGUGAGACGUCCAACAGCUUUAUUCUAUCACGAGACAUCACGUAAGGUUAAGUCAACCCAUGGGUCCUCGGGGUGGUUGGACGUCAUUAAUAAGUAGGGUAACAGCUGUUGAUGUUCUACCCUGGGUUGAAGUUCUCUCCGGUUUACCAAAGAGGUAUACCGCCUUGUAGUGCUCAUAUCUCAUGUUUGUGUAUACGUUUCGAGUCCGUCUUAGUUACCGACCCUGACCCUCUACUAGCAGUAAGGUUCAUCGGAGAACCUACCAGCAGCCAAAACCACCGCUACGGCUACUAGCAACUCUCCAAACACCUGACCUGCCACAGUACCAACGGUUACAUGCUUCUCCGUUUCGACGACGAGCAGUAGAUGGAGACCGUGGG